AUUGAACGCUGGCGGCAUGCCUUACACAUGCAAGUCGAACGGUAGCGGGCCUUCGGGUGCCGACGAGUGGCGAACGGGUGAGUAAUGUAUCGGAACGUACCCUUCAGUGGGGGAUAACGUAGCGAAAGUUGCGCUAAUACCGCAUAUUCUGUGAGCAGGAAAGCAGGGGAUCGCAAGACCUUGCGCUGAUUGAGCGGCCGAUAUCAGAUUAGCUAGUUGGUGAGGUAAAGGCUCACCAAGGCGACGAUCUGUAGCGGGUCUGGGAGGAUGAUCCGCCACGCUGGAACUGAGACACGGUCCAGGCUCCUACGGGAGGCAGCAGUGGGGAAUUUUGGACAAUGGGGGCAACCCUGAUCCAGCCAUGCCGCGUGAGUGAAGAAGGCCUUCGGGUUGUAAAGCUCUUUCGGCCGGGAAGAAAUCGUAUCAGCUAAUACCUGGUGCGGAUGACGGUACCGGCAUAAGAAGCACCGGCUAACUACGUGCCAGCAGCCGCCGUAACAC
rnacentral:rRNA from 1 species